GCGGACGUGGCAUAAUGGCAGCGCAUUACCCUCCUAAGGUAGAGGUUCCGGGUUCGAGUCCCGGCGUCCGUU